rnacentral:ncRNA from 1 species
GGUCUUCAGGGCGAGGUGCAAUUCCUCACUGGCGGUAAUGUUUGGUGCCUAACGGCAUCGGGGCAAAGCCCGCGACCCUUGCUUGGCAAGGUUGAUCUGGUGCGAAUCCAGAGUCAACGGUUACAGUCCGGAUGGAAGAAGACG